CAGCCAGUGUGAGUCUGCUUAGCUAAACAUGUACAUGCAGAGAUUCAGAUAAAGCUGGCAAUAAUAGUGUCAUGAUAUGAGCCAGAAGGACAAUCAAAGUCACUAAGGUCUUUGAAAAUGGCUACAAAC